rnacentral:rRNA from 1 species
ACUGCUCAGUAACACGUGGAUAACCUGCCCUUAGGACGGGGAUAAACCCGGGAAACUGGGUAUAAUACCCGAUAGAUCUCGACUGCUGGAAUGCAUCGAGUUCCAAAGCUCCGGCGCCUAAGGAUGGAUCUGCGGCCUAUCAGGUAGUAGUGGGUGUAGCGUACCUACUAGCCUACGACGGGUACGGGUUGUGAGAGCAAGAGCCCGGAGAUGGAUUCUGAGACACGAAUCCAGGCCCUACGGGGUGCAGCAGGCGCGAAAACUUUACAAUGCUGGCAACAGCGAUAAGGGGACCUCGAGUGCCAGGUUACAAAUCUGGCUGUCGUGAUGCCUAAAAAGCAUUGCAUAGCAAGGGCCGGGCAAGACCGGUGCCAGCCGCCGCGGUAACACCGGCGGCUCGAGUGGUAACCGUUAUUAUUGGGUCUAAAGGGUCUGUAGCCGGCCGGAUAAGUCUCUUGGGAAAUCUGGCAGCUUAACUGUCAGGCUUUCAGGAGAUACUGUCUGGCUCGAGGCCGGGAGAGGUGAGAGGUACUUCAGGGGUAGGGGUGAAAUCUUGUAAUCCUUGAAGGACCACCAGUGGCGAAGGCGUCUCACCAGAACGGACCUGACGGCAAGGGACGAAAGCUAGGGGCACGAACCGGAUUAGAUACCCGGGUGGUCCUAGCCGUAAACGAUACUCGCUAGGUGUCGGCCACGGUGCGACCGUUGUCGGUGCCGUAGGGAAGCCGUGAAGCGAGCCACCUGGGAAGUACGGCCGCAAGGCUGAAACUUAAAGGAAUUGGCGGGGGAGCACCACAACGGGUGGAGCUUGCGGUUUAAUUGGAUUCAACGCCGGG